rnacentral:hammerhead_ribozyme from 1 species
ACCCAGUUGAUGAGUUCCAAAUAGGACGAAACCUGCGUCCUGAAU